rnacentral:rRNA from 1 species
UACCAGCACCCCGAGUGGUCGGGACGUUUUUAUUGGGCCUAAAGCAUCCGUAGCCGGUUCUACAAGUCUUCCGUUAAAUCCAUCUGCUUAACAGAUGGGCUGCGGAAGAUACUAUAGAGCUAGGAGGCGGGAGAGGCAAGCGGUACUCGAUGGGUAGGGGUAAAAUCCGUUGAUCCAUUGAAGACCACCAGUGGCGAAGGCGGCUUGCCAGAACGCGCUCGACGGUGAGGGAUGAAAGCUGGGGGAGCAAACCGG